GGUGGAAUAGCUCAAUGGUAGAGUAUGUACUUAGCAUGCAUGAGGUCCUGGGUUCAAUCCCCAGUACCUCCA
rnacentral:tRNA from 1 species